GCCAGGGUAGCUCAGUUGGUUAGAGCAUGGGAUUCAUAAACCCAAGGUCGAGAGUUCGAUCCUCUCCCCUGGUA
rnacentral:tRNA from 1 species